GGCGGCCUUAUUUCUGAGCCUUCAAGAAGACAAUUCGCUCUCGGUAAGAUAACAUGGGGAGAAGAGAAGGAAAGGAAUGCGAGAAGAGAAAGGACCGCUAGGCGGCGACAGAGCAGCAUAAUUCAUUUUCUUCCGCUAAAUAGUGUUUCUUUUAGGCUGAAAAGAGACCAAUAGAUGGCGACAAAGCACCACAAAUCAUUUUUUUCCUUUAGGCUGAGAAACCACAGUAGAGGUCUGCAGGUCUUCUGCAUGCCGGAGGGGACAGUUUGGGGUUUUGUUAUUUGCAAGGGCACAAUUAGGACCGCUGGGUUGGAAUUAAGCCUGCGUCUCCACAGGGCAAAGGUUCUUGGUAUGGCCAUGAAGGGAGACCUUGGGCCGAAGCCAUGGGCCGGAGCCCUUGGGGUGAUGCUUGGUGCGCAGGGCACCCUGGCUUGGUCUGGCUGCAAGGCGGAGGGUUCUCCUGGGAAGGGCUGAGACCUGAGAUGCAAAGGUCGUGCCCCAAGGCCUUCUGGGAAGCCCAGAGAAGGGCAGGAUUUGCUUUCUGCACUCCUUUCUGGGCUCUGAACAAAGCUGGAGCCUUGAAGUUCAAGCCAACUUUAUUGCUGUUGUUCUGUGCAAAGCUUCUGUGCAAGCACCCUGGUGUCCUGCACGGGCCAGGUGCCACCACAGCUGAGACCCUGCAUGACUAAGCCUGCUUUCCCCCCACACCCCACUUCUGCAACAGGGAAUGGCUCCUGUGAGGAGGGGAGUGUAAAAGGGACGGACUGGGUGACUAGUGCCAGCGAGUAAAGCGCCUUCUUCAAGGCUUGAGACGGCGGGGGGGGGCGAGGAGAAGCCGGGUAGCCCCCUCCUUCCUGGCCGCCCACACAGCAGCCUGUGGGCGGAGGCUCGACCCCGCCGUGACCCCAUUUCUCGGCAGGCUUUACUUUGGCCGCGGUGGGCCUUCUGCAUGUUUGCUUUAGGAGAUUGGCUGGAGGAACGGCCAGCCCGGCUGUGACGCCAAGCAGAGAGCCCCCCCGCCCCGUUCCCCCUGGGGAAGGGGCCGCGCCUGUCCACCAACUGCAAUCUCAUCUCCUCUCCUUUGCCGGGGGGGGGGGAGGAGGAAGGAAUUCUGCCCCCAAGGGAGCAGCUCGCCUCGGGGGAUCUUCUCGGGGCUCUCCAAGGCGGAAACGCCCCCCCAGCAAACACACGCGGGGAUUAACCCCCGCCCCCUUUCCACCAAUCGGCAUUUGGGAUGGGGUCCAGCGCAGGGGGAGGCAGCGAUAUAAGGCGCCCCGCUCCUCGCCUUGGCCAGCGACGGAGACGCCCGGCGGCCUCUUCAGCACCAUGGCCAGCGGCGGCCUCUGUAUCGGGUGGUCGCUCCUCUUCCUCCUCUUCCUCUUCCCACCGGGGGGCUGCAGCGAGUUUUCCACCGAAGUCCAGGGGGCUGUGAAGGCCGUCGAGGGCGGAACCGUGUGCGACGCUGGCGAACCCUGCGCGGUGCGGAAAGGGGCCCGCAUUGGGCGCCUCUGUACCUGCCCCCGUGGGACGUCUUGCAACUUGUACAUCCUCAAGUGCUUGUGAAGGAGGAGCCGUCGAGGGGGGGCCUAGGGGGGCCUUUGGAAAGCAGGCAUUUGCUCACAGGUGGGUACGCAGCCCCCCCCCUUUGGCUCCCCCCCGGUGGCACUCCUCGGCUGGCAAAGUCAGGUGGGAGGGGCAAGUGAGGAUCCCACUGGCUCCCAGUGCCUUCUGGGAAAUUCUUGGCCACGUCAGCCUCAGNUUGUGAUCCAGAGAUGCUGAGUUUCCUUGGGGUAGGUGGGGAAGGGGGCGAGGAGGGGGGCUUCCGGGGGCUGGGAUGUUAUGCCAAGCGUCCGGAGCCUAUACACGGACGGAAUUGAUUCCAAAGGGACUCUUUCAGUGAACGUUGUUUCUGAUGAACUUCAGGUGAACGGAACUCCUACCGCAUCAUCCAUUAUUAUCUCUCUGGGCGGACAGAGGCCUCUGAUUGCACCUGCCCAGCACAGACUGUGAAACGCAGCCCANCGGCUCCUGUGGCGGGCUGUUCCACUGGCCANNGCUUGUUGCGACGCUUCCCCUGGNCAAGACNCGUGCCCAGUGCUGCUCUGACGAANGGCAGCAAAUGCGGGGGAGGGUGGCGCUGCCCCAGCUGCCAGCAUAAGGAGGAAACCCCGCCCCCAUAAUUCUGAUGUCUCUACUCUCCUAAGAAGACCUCCUCUGCCUUUUGCCCGGGCACCUGAGGAGCAGAAGCGUCUCUUCUCCUUCAGCAGCGAGACUCCCGUGUUGCUGUCCUGGUAAGGGCGGAUCGGGGCCUUUACGCGCCUGGACGUGCAGCACUGCGUUUGUACAGCACCAGGCAAAUACACACUCAGUCUACGUGCUGCUGCGUUCCGGCUGUGUGGUUCUUGCGUGUGUGG
ensembl:lncRNA